CGACGAUCAGUAGCCGGCUUGAGAGAGCGGACGGCCACAUUGGGACUGAGACACGGCCCAAACUCCUACGGGAGGCAGCAGUGGGGAAUAUUGCACAAUGGGGGAAACCCUGAUGCAGCGACGCCGCGUGAGUGAAGAAGUAUUUCGGUAUGUAAAGCUCUAUCAGCAGGGAAGAAAAAAGACGGUACCUGACUAAGAAGCCCCGGCUAACUACGUGCCAGCAGCCGCGGUAAUACGUAGGGGGCAAGCGUUAUCCGGAAUUACUGGGUGUAAAGGGUGCGUAGGUGGCAUGGUAAGUCAGAAGUGAAAGCCCGGGGCUUAACCCCGGGACUGCUUUUGAAACUGUCAUGCUGGAGUGCAGGAGAGGUAAGCGGAAUUCCUAGUGUAGCGGUGAAAUGCGUAGAUAUUAGGAGGAACACCAGUGGCGAAGGCGGCUUACUGGACUGUCACUGACACUGAUGCACGAAAGCGUGGGGAGCAAACAGGAUUAGAUACCCUGGUAGUCCACGCCGU
rnacentral:rRNA from 1 species